GAAAAUUUCGUGAGACGCAUCCUUUUUACACAGCUACAGGGACUUUAAGAGACUCUAGUAUCUUAUCAUCUAUCGGAAAUUCCAUUGGCUUCUUGUCUCUCCCGAUCUUCACAUACUCCUCAAACCUUUCCUUCAAAUCCUCAGGAAGGUUCGUGGUACCUUUCCACCCCAAAAUCUCUUUCGCUGCUCUUGGUUCUGCGUAGAAGUGCUGCACAAGCAGAGAGACAAUGUCAGAUAAUUCCACAGUCAAGGACACAAACAGGCUGCGAUUCGGAAUUAAUGACAUUGUCAGGCUGUAAAUAAUUUCUUGUGAAGUAUAUCUGUCGCCGGACGAGGUUUCUCUCGCUAAAUGCUAAUUAAUUCGUAUCAUUGCACGCUUUCCUAUCACUGUAUAAAAGGGGGCUACUCUGAGAAUUAUUGUGACUUACAUAGGUACGGAACGGGAAGGCUUUCUUGGCAUCUACUCCAACUGUCUUGGGAUCGUAGUGCACGAUAUUGACGUCUCGGCCAGCAGCCUUAGCACAUAGCCUUGCCAUCCCAUCCAAUGUCACGGCUCGGUCGCUGACACAGUUGAAGAUGUU
rnacentral:lncRNA from 1 species